UGAAUUUAUAUGACAGAAGAUGUUCAACGCCUCCAUGUGGACUGACGUAUCCUGCUGGAGUCGGACUGGGAGGUGUCGGUACAGGAGCUAAAGCACCCAAACCAGGCUAUGGCGGUCUCGGAGUCGGUGGUGGAUAUCAACCAGGUGCUCUUGGUGUUGUUCCUGGUUAUGGAGGAGGCUACCCACAACAG